rnacentral:rRNA from 1 species
AACGAACGCUGGCGGCGCGCCUAAUACAUGCAAGUCGAGCGAGAAGACGUAGCAAUACGUUUGUAAAGCGGCGAACGGGUGAGGAACACGAUGGGUAACCUACCCUAGAGUGGGGAAUAACUAGCCGAAAGGUUAGCCUAAUACCGGCGUACGCUCCUUGGACUUCGGUACAGGGAGGAAGCGAUACCGUGGGUAUCGCGCUCUUGGAUGGGCU